rnacentral:rRNA from 1 species
AACGAACGCUGGCGGCAGGCUUAACACAUGCAAGUCGAGCGCCCCGCAAGGGGAGCGGCAGACGGGUGAGUAACGCGUGGGAAUCUACCCAUCUCUACGGAAUAACGCAUGGAAACGUGUGCUAAUACCGUAUACGUCCUUCGGGAGAAAGAUUUAUCGGAGAUGGAUGAGUCCGCGUUGGAUUAGCUAGUUGGUGGGGUAAAGGCCUACCAAGGCGACGAUCCAUCGCUGGUCUGAGAGGAUGAUCAGCCACACUGGGACUGAGACAUGGCCCAGACUCCUACGGGAGGCAGCGGUGGGGAAUAUUGGACAAUGGGCGCAAGCCUGAUCCAGCCAUGCCGCGUGAGUAAUGAAGGCCCUAGGGUUGUAAAGCUCUUUCACCGGUGAAGAUAAUGACGGUAACCGGAGAAGAAGCCCCGGCUAACUUCGUACCAGCCGCCGCGGUAAGAC